rnacentral:pre_miRNA from 1 species
CGAGACUGAGGCAGGAAAAGAGGAAAGUUUGAAAGUUCAUUUUUCUUCUACAUUGAAACUUUCCUCUUUUCCUGCCUCAGUCUCA